AUGUAGACACAGAGUAUCUUAUUUAUCCCUUCAUCCAUUGACAAGUCUCUGGGUUGUCUCCAUCUUUUGGCUAAGGUGAAUAAUGCUGCUAUGAACACUCACGGACAAGUUUCUGCAUGAAUCUAUGUCUUCAUUUAACUUGGGUUCAUGUAGAAAUUUUGUACAUCAGUUUUUAUUUCCCUUGGGUAAACAAAUAGGAGUGGGAUUGCUGAGUCAUAAAGUAAAUGUAAUGUUUAACUUUUUAAGAACCUGCCAGAUCCUUCCAGAGCACCCGCCCCUUUCUCCAUUCCAAGCAGCAAUGUACAAGAGCUCUGCAAGCUUGCCUGGCACACUCUGAAUUCUUUUUAAAUAUUUAUUUUUUAUUUAACUAUGCCAGGUCUUUGUUGUGGCAUGCAAACACUUUGUUGUGGCAUGUGGGAUCUAGUUUCCUGACCAGGGAUCGAAUCCGGGCCCCCUGCAUUGGGAGCUCGGAGUCUUAACCACUGCACCACCAGGGUGCUGCAGUCCAUGAGGUUGCUAAGAGUCGGACACGACUGAGCGACUUCACUUUCACUUUUCACUCUCAUGCUUUGGAGAAGGAAAUGGCAACCCACUCCAGUGUUCUUGCCUUGAGAAUCCCAGGGAUGGGGGAGCCUGGUGGGCUGCCAUCUAUGGGGUCGCACAGAGUCGGACAUGACUGAAGUGACUUAGCAGCAACAGCAGCAGGCUGUGCUGGGUCUUCCGUUGUGGCACGUGGAAAUGACCUCACCUCCCACCCUGUAUCACCCAGCUGCAGAUCCAAGCCUCAGCUGGCUGGCCCCCACCCAUGGUCUCACUCCUCACGAGUGAUCAGAGUCCUGUUGGUUUAAGCCACUCAGCUUGUGAUAACAUUACAGCAGCAACAAGAAACAAAUACACUGUUGG
ensembl:lncRNA